UGAAUGCAAUGGUGUGAACACAGCUCAUUUCAGCAGCGUUGACCUCCUGGACUCAAGAUAUCCUCCUCCAUCAGCCUCCCUAAGUAACCAAGACUACAGGGAGAACCUGCAAUGAGAGAAAAUUUGAUGACUGAGCAAGAUGCAGGAAAGAUUUGAAGUGUGACAGGGAGGGACUCUUGAUUUGGUACACUGGCUUUGAAGAUGAAGGAAGGAUCCAUGAGCCGAGCCAAGGCAUGUAGGUGGUAUCUAGAAGCCAGCAAUAACUCUCACCUGACAGCCACCCAUGACAUAGAGACCUCGAGUCCCACAACUUCAAGGAACUGAAAUCUGCCAAUAUCCUAAAGAAGCAGGGAAAUUUAUUUUCCCCUAGAUCCCUAGAGAAGAAUACAGCCUUGUAAAUAUCCUGAUUUUUGUCUGCAAGACUCACACUGGGCUGCUGAUGUACAGAACUGUAGAUAAUAAAUUUUUGUUUUAUAUGCUGCUAAUUUAUGGCAAUCUGUUAAUGAAAGUAAUCUAAAACUAGCAUAUAUGUUAAGGGGGUAGACUUUGUUAAAAUUAGACAACUGGAGACUUUGAAGUUUUUAGAAUGUUAAAAUAGUAAAAUCAGAGCUCUUUUUAGAAAAUGUGAAACAUUUUUAUUUUCUUAAACAGCAUACAUUCCACUGAUCUGCCUUCCUAAACAAACCCUUUAAUUCAUGUGUCUCCUUCCCCCAUUGCAGUCCAUAAACUGUCAUGUCAGGGUCAUCUCCAUAACUCAAG
rnacentral:lncRNA from 1 species